rnacentral:rRNA from 1 species
GACGAACGCUGGCGGCGUGCCUAAUACAUGCAAGUAGAACGCACAGUUUAUACCGUAGCUUGCUACACCAUAGACUGUGAGUUGCGAACGGGUGAGUAACGCGUAGGUAACCUGCCUGGUAGCGGGGGAUAACUAUUGGAAACGAUAGCUAAUACCGCAUAAUAUUAAUUAUUGCAUGAUAAUUAAUUGAAAGGUGCAAUUGCACCACUACCAGAUGGACCUGCGUUGUAUUAGCUAGUAGGUGAGGUAACGGCUCACCUAGGCGACGAUACAUAGCCGACCUGGGAGGGUGGUCGGCCACACUGGGACUGAGACACGGCCCAGACUCCUACGGGAGGCAGCAGUAGGGAAUCUUCGGCAAUGGACGGAAGUCUGACCGAGCAACGCCGCGUGAGUGAAGAAGGUUUUCGGAUCGUAAAGCUCUGUUGUAAGGGAAGAACGGGUGUGAGAGUGGAAAGUUCACACUGUGACGGUAUCUUACCAGAAAGGGACGGCUAACUACGUG